UCCGGCUGAGCCGUUCCUCUUCCUAAUCUCAACUCCUCCACCAUAAAUACACCUAAAUGAUUGUGCAGCCGAAACCGAAUAAGGGGAGUCCACCAGUCCUUGAUCUCCAUGAACGGAGAUUCAUGGCUUCAUCCGUUCCGUUACAAGAAACCGAUGGAGGAAGUAUUACUAUAAUAAUUUCAACAAUUUGGGCGAUUGUUCUCAUGGUUUUCUGUUAUUCUUUCACCACAAGCCAGAAAAAAUUCAGUAGGGACCCUUUUACUUACUAACACAUGAGCCAUUUACUCUGAAUUUAUCUGGAAGGAACAAUGAUUGUAUUUUACACAACUGACUCUGUUAAGCAUGCACAUUUUUUCAAGUUAUAUUUAUACCAUUUAUUUUUCAGUGUA